CCGAAUGGGGAAACCCAGUGUGUUUCGACACACUAUCAUUAACUGAAUCCAUAGGUUAAUGAGGCGAACCGGGGGAACUGAAACAUCUAAGUACCCCGAGGAAAAGAAAUCAACCGAGAUUCCCCCAGUAGCGGCGAGCGAACGGGGAGGAGCCCAGAGCCUGAAUCAGUGUGUGUGUUAGUGGAAGCGUCUGGAAAGGCGCGCGAUACAGGGUGACAGCCCCGUACACAAAAAUGCACAUACUGUGAGCUCGAUGAGUAGGGCGGGACACGUGGUAUCCUGUCUGAAUAUGGGGGGACCAUCCUCCAAGGCUAAAUACUCCUGACUGACCGAUAGUGAACCAGUACCGUGAGGGAAAGGCGAAAAGAACCCCGGCGAGGGGAGUGAAAAAGAACCUGAAACCGUGUACGUACAAGCAGUGGGAGCCUCUUAAUGGGGUGACUGCGUACCUUUUGUAUAAUGGGUCAGCGACUUAUAUUCUGUAGCAAGGUUAACCGAAUAGGGGAGCCGAAGGGAAACCGAGUCUUAACUGGGCGUUAAGUUGCAGGGUAUAGACCCGAAACCCGGUGAUCUAGCCAUGGGCAGGUUGAAGGUUGGGUAACACUAACUGGAGGACCGAACCGACUAAUGUUGAAAAAUUAGCGGAUGACUUGUGGCUGGGGGUGAAAGGCCAAUCAAACCGGGAGAUAGCUGGUUCUCCCCGAAAGCUAUUUAGGUAGCGCCUCGUGAAUUCAUCUCCGGGGGUAGAGCACUGUUUCGGCAAGGGGGUCAUCCCGACUUACCAACCCGAUGCAAACUGCGAAUACCGGAGAAUGUUAUCACGGGAGACACACGGCGGGUGCUAACGUCCGUCGUGAAGAGGGAAACAACCCAGACCGCCAGCUAAGGUCCCAAAGUCAUGGUUAAGUGGGAAACGAUGUGGGAAGGCCCAGACAGCCAGGAUGUUGGCUUAGAAGCAGCCAUCAUUUAAAGAAAGCGUAAUAGCUCACUGGUCGAGUCGGCCUGCGCGGAAGAUGUAACGGGGCUAAACCAUGCACCGAAGCUGCGGCAGCGACACUAUGUGUUGUUGGGUAGGGGAGCG
rnacentral:rRNA from 1 species